GAAGGUUCGCGAUUUUUUCAAGAGACCUUUUUACCUUUUCUCAGGGUCGACUCGUCCAAAUCGGGUUGCAACGCUCGCGCUAAAAUUUGUCAGAAUGAUGAAUGAAAAGAAAAAAAAAAAAAAAAUUGAAGGGAAGUAAGAGAAGAAGAAAGGAAUGAGUCGAAUUAAUCGACGAUUGUUAGAGAAAUUUCUACUGACCCUUCCGCAACUCUCUUUCCGUCAUCGGUUGAUCUGGGGCUAUACAUGAUGAUAUGAAACAUAAAUGUUCGAUUAACGAUUAAUAACAUAUUUUCCAUAUAAUUUCUUUUUCCCUAUAUAUAUUUU